AUAAUACUCUCUCCAUUUAGAAAUAAGUGACUCGGAUUUAUCUAGAUUCAUAUGUAUCUAGACGAGUUUUAGUGUAUAGAUACAUGUGAAUUUAGAUAAAUCUGAAUCACUUGUUUCCGGACGGAGGAAAUAUAUU
rnacentral:pre_miRNA from 1 species